rnacentral:rRNA from 1 species
CGUGCUUAACACAUGCAAGUCGAACGAUGAACCUCACUUGUGGGGGGAUUAGUGGCGAACGGGUGAGUAACACGUGAGUAACCUGCCCUUGACUCUGGGAUAAGCCUGGGAAACCGGGUCUAAUACUGGAUACGACCUUCUGGCGCAUGCCAUGUUGGUGGAAAGCUUUUGUGGUUUUGGAUGGACUCGCGGCCUAUCAGCUUGUUGGUGGGGUAAUGGCCUACCAAGGCGACGACGGGUAGCCGGCCUGAGAGGGUGACCGGCCACACUGGGACUGAGACACGGCCCAGACUCCUACGGGAGGCAGCAGUGGGGAAUAUUGCACAAUGGGCGCAAGCCUGAUGCAGCGACGCCGCGUGAGGGAUGAAGGCCUUCGGGUUGUAAACCUCUUUCAGUAGGGAAGAAGCUGGCCUUUCGGGGUUGGUGACGGUACCUGCAGAAGAAGCGCCGGCUAACUACGUGCCAGCAGCCGCGGUAAUACGUAGGGCGCAAGCGUUAUCCGGAAUUAUUGGGCGUAAAGAGCUCGUAGGCGGUUUGUCGCGUCUGCCGUGAAAGUCCGGGGCUUAACUCCGGAUCUGCGGUGGGUACGGGCAGACUAGAGUGCAGUAGGGGAGACUGGAAUUCCUGGUGUAGCGGUGAAAUGCGCAGAUAUCAGGAGGAACACCGAUGGCGAAGGCAGGUCUCUGGGCUGUAACUGACGCUGAGGAGCGAAAGCAUGGGGAGCGAACAGGAUUAGAUACCCUGGUAGUCCAUGCCGUAAACGUUGGGCACUAGGUGUG